AAUCCAUAGGUUAAUGAGGCGAACCGGGGGAACUGAAACAUCUAAGUACCCCGAGGAAAAGAAAUCAACCGAGAUUCCCCCAGUAGCGGCGAGCGAACGGGGAGGAGCCCAGAGCCUGAAUCAGCAUGUGUGUUAGUGGAAGCGUCUGGAAAGGCGCGCGAUACAGGGUGACAGCCCCGUACACAAAAGCGCAUGUGCUGUGAGCUCGAUGAGUAGGGCGGGACACGUGGUAUCCUGUCUGAAUAUGGGGGGACCAUCCUCCAAGGCUAAAUACUCCUGACUGACCGAUAGUGAACCAGUACCGUGAGGGAAAGGCGAAAAGAACCCCGGCGAGGGGAGUGAAAAAGAACCUGAAACCGUGUACGUACAAGCAGUGGGAGCACCCUUUGGGUGUGACUGCGUACCUUUUGUAUAAUGGGUCAGCGACUUAUAUUCUGUAGCAAGGUUAACCGAAUAGGGGAGCCGGAGGGAAACCGAGUCUUAA
rnacentral:rRNA from 1 species